rnacentral:lncRNA from 1 species
CUGGUAAGAUGGUUUAGUAUGUGGGUCCACCAUAUUUUUAUGGGGUCUACUUUGAUUCUCGAAGUCUUACUUCAAAAAAUAGUCACGAAUAAUUGCACUUAUGUGCUAGAAAUUUUGAUAAGAUCGAGCUCCUUAGCUAAAGUAAUAGCACCUUUAUUGUUGCAGUAUAGUGUUGUGCCAUCUAAUGAUAUUACACCGAUUUUGUGAUAAAUUCUUUUUAACCAGAAGGCUUUCCUAGCAACCUCAUAAGCAGUGACAU